GUUAAAGGCAUUUCAGUUCUUUGUCCCUCAGUGACAUCACCAUCGCCAUCAUCCUCAGAUCACAGCGAAAUACAAAACUACACCCAGACUGCAGUCACUACACACAGCUACACGUAUACGCAUCUGGCUUCUCCGCGGAAACAGAACGAUUAUGACUAGAAGAGAGAAUAUUGAAUAGCGAGUUAAAUAUUAAUUACCUUUUUCAUUAUUCAUUAUCAUACUAUAGAUAUAUUUGGAACAUUGUUUAUAACUUAAUAUUUAAUUUAUUGAGCAGCUUCAGUUUUGUUAAAAAUCCUUUUACUUAACCUAACUUUUAUUAACACUGCAGGUAUUUAAUCAGGCGGAAAGGUCGAUUUGGUUCAUUAUCAGAUUGUCGGGGGAAGGUCUGCUGAAAUAAAUUAAACAUUUAAUAUAUUUAAUUAAUGUUGUUUUACUUGGAAAGAAAUCCCAACAUGAAUGUGAACAAUUCAAUGUAGAGUUUCCAAUUGGCCUCAAGGGAAAGUUUUCCCUUUUCUCAUUUUAAAUUACAUUUUAUUAGUUAAUUUCACUAAGUUUAGUUUUUCUUAUUUGGGAUAAACCUGAAUACCAGGAGAAAAUACUAACAUGACUACGACUUAUUUCCGAUAAUAUUUCUAGUUCCCAAUUACAUAACCCAAUUUCCCGUACAGGAAGUGUGCGUAGUCAUGGCAACGUCUCUCAUUGGUUUGCACAGGUGUUUGUUUCCUGUAGGCGGUCCGCGUCUUGAAAGACCUCUUGACCUCGUCCAACGCUUAUCAGUGAAUCCUCAAUGUCCUUUUGAAGAAUAUCUGACCUUCAUCCCGGUGACGUGUCUCGCUGGAGGAGGACUGAAGGUCCGUGAGGUCGACACAAAGGAAUAAAGAGUCCAUCCUUGUCUUGGCUCUGAGAAGAAGAGAAACAUGACAAGAAAAAAAAAACUGCCUCGUUACUUUCUCAAUGAUUUUAAUGUCUGUCAGAAAAUAAGACGCCAUCUCAAUCAGAAGGGAACACGUUGCUGUUUGAACGGAACUCGAUCCGCUGAGCCUGAAGGACGUUGGUCUAACCGGCGACCAGGAAGUAAAUCAAUCCAAGCGCUUUGCAGUGUUUAUUUUGGCCCAGUCGACGUUUCGUCAGUGACACAAAGGACGUCUGAAUCACUGGUGCACAGCACAUGUAUGUAUGUUUUAGUCACGCAUGUUCGCCAUCCUUACAGAAGCCCAUUACGUGCCCCCGUCACCGCAAAGUGCUGCUUAAUUAUUCCCCCCACGGGUCACGUGUUCAUUACGCCACAACUAAUUACCACCAGUGUGUGCGUGUGUGGGUCUGUGUGUGUGUUCACUUUUCA